UUGCCCUGCACCGUGUCUAACGCCGCAGCAGCUUGGGACUGACUACUGGAUGUUACAUCGCUUCUAAUGAUUGGAAAAUCCGUUUGUAGCCUACUUCGUGUCAGAAACAGCGCGAGCGCUUGGAGUACAUCUGUACAUCAGCAAUAUACCGGGGCAUCACAUUACUGUCCGCAUCCACUGUAGAUAAUAUAUAUAAUGGUCUCUAUGUUUUUUUUUUUUUUUAUCGAGUCGCGCCUCGCCGCGCCACUCGCAUCCGAGAAAGACACGGAAGCAGCGGGCAGCGCUGCGGGUUUUGCCCGGGGAUGAACACGCCAGAGUGGGAGAGCUCCGGAGAACAUCUGCGCUGUGUGUCGAUGCACUUUACGAGAGAAAAAGACCAGCAAGCAAGGCAACUGCAAUGAAGCAUCAAGAAAGACAUGAGCAGGCCAGCCACCCUGAGACUGAUAAUUCAUGAGAAGACAUUUCUGUCAAAGUGGAUGGUGAGCAAAGAUGGUGGCCACGUUUUGGAGCAGCACCUGGGUUUUGCAGGCCGCUAUGUAUUCUUUGGCUGUUUGUCUUUUUUCCCCAUUAUGUUUCUGUUGCCUAAAAAUCACAACAAAAUGCACUGCAAAACGUC